AUGUGCAACCUAAAGGCCAUAAUAAAAAAUGCUGACAUCUUGGAAGAGAUGCAACAGGACUUGGUGGAGUGCACUACUCAGGCGCUAGAGAAAUAGAAUAUAGAGAAGGACAUUCCAGCUCAUAUCAAGAAGGAAUUUGACAAGAAGUCCAGUCCCAUGCGGCUUGCAUCAUGGGGAGGAACUUCAGGAGUUAUGUGACACAUGAAACCAAAUGCUUCAUCUGUUUCUACCUGGGCCAAGUGGCCACUCUUCUGUUCAAAUCUGGU
rnacentral:lncRNA from 1 species